CACCUGAGUGCUCGGCAGGGCACGCGGCUCUCAGGGCUCCCUGCGCCGCACCGCGCUCCGCAGAGCUGCCCGGCAGCGCGUUACGGCCCUGUCAGACCUCACAGAGCUCCCAUCUCUGCCACACCAACCCUGGUUCGGGUUGAGUCUGAAGUAAAAAUCAGCCGGUUCUACAGAGACUGGACGUGUAUAACCCGCUGCAGUACAGGGAGCGGGAAAAGGCCCUCUUAAGAAAACAUAAUGAGUUGUAUGCGUAUGCUCCCUGUGCAAAUACAGGCACUUCGAUCUGAUGUUGUCUGACACGGGAGGGAAUCGAAGGAGCUAAAGAUAAGGCUGUGGAAGAGAACAGCAGGAGAUGCUCCAUUCCUCGGCUUUCCGUUGGAGUGAGUGCAUGAGGCAGCACCUUGCGAUUCCAGCAUUGAGCUUCCUGCCCAUGGGCACCCUUAGAUGUUGCAGAUUGUCACUUGGAGAGCGACAAUGAUUUCCCGACAAAGGUCUGCGCCUGAAACCCGCUGCAAAUGCAAGACCACCUCACUCUCCUUCACUAAGAGGAAGCGCACGCUUCAAUUCACGUUCAAACGCCGGGACCUCCCCGAAGCUGCCCUCUCCCCGCAGAACCCUCCC
ensembl:lncRNA